rnacentral:rRNA from 1 species
UACGGAGGGUGCAAGCGUUAUCCGGAUUUACUGGGUUUAAAGGGUGCGUAGGUGGGUAUAUAAGUUUGGGGUGAAAUGUCAUAGCUCAACUAUGAGAUUGCCUUGGAUACUGUAUAUCUUGAAUAUAGUAGGGAUAACUGGAAUAUGUCAAGUAGCGGUAAAAUGCAUAGAUAUGACAUAGAACACCGAUAGUGAAGACGAGUUAUUUGGCUAUAAUUGACACUGAGGCACGAAAGCGUGGGUAGCGAACAGG